UACAGAGGGUGCAAGCGUUGUUCGGAAUUAUUGGGCGUAAAGCGCACGUAGGCGGUUCGUUAAGUCGGAUGUGAAAGCCCUGGGCUCAACCCAGGAAGAGCAUUCGAAACUGGCGGACUGGAGUAUGGAAGAGGGUCGCGGAAUUCCCGGUGUAGAGGUGAAAUUCGUAGAUAUCGGGAGGAACACCAGUGGCGAAGGCGGCGACCUGGGCCAAUACUGACGCUGAUGUGCGAAAGCGUGGGGAGCAAACAGG
rnacentral:rRNA from 1 species